rnacentral:lncRNA from 1 species
GGAUUUUCCAGGCAAGAGUACUGGAGUGGGGUGCCAUUGCCUUCUCCAAUCACUUUUGCUACAGAUACUUAAAAUAAAUCACCUGGUCCAUUUUUGUUACUUUCUGGUGUCAAUUUAGUAAUUCUGGUAGCCACUGUUCAAUUUUUUUGGUCUCUUGGGUAACUCCCUCUGAAAUGUUUUGAAAUGAAAUGUGUUUUUAAGUCUUUGCCUUUUCCUGAAGUUAAGGUGGUUUCAGGAUAUUAUCUGUUGUGACACCUUCCUGGGUCGAAAUGUAAACAAAAGUGCUCUUUUGCAUUCUGUCUUAUUGUAGAUGAUUUCCUAGCUUACAAAAUGAUUUAUUUUUGGUGUCUUUAAAAAAAAUAAGUGUUCUCCUUUUCCCCUUUCCUCUGCGACAUCAUUAUUCACGGGAAGAUAACAGGAACUAAGGAUGGGAAGGGGUCGUGUUCUGGUUGCAUCUGAGUGUGCAUCAGAGCCACGUUCUGUUUGCUUCCCCGCAUCCUGGAGGGCACCACGAGGCUCCGGCUCCUAGUGUGGGAACUGGCAUGGGUGAGGGCCUCCUAUCUGCUUGGUGAACUGGUGUGAAAUGAAACAAAAGACCAGAUUUGUCCUCCUGCGAGACGCCAGCUCCUCUGAGGCUUUUGACAGCGCUAAGCAGUGCCGUGAUGUUGCUGGGUCUUGAAGACAAACAGCCGUCUUGAAGACACAGCUUUGCCCAGCUGAUGCUGUACCGAUCAGCGCUCAUGUUUCGAGUCCUGAGUGCCAACUCCGUAAAACCCUGUCCAUCUGCCUGUUUAUGCCGAGAUGAAAUAAAUCACUGGGGUUGCUAGUGCUCC